rnacentral:rRNA from 1 species
ACAGAGGUCUCAAGCGUUGUUCGGUUUCAUUGGGCGUAAAGGGUGCGUAGGUGGCGCGGUAAGUCGGGUGUGAAAUCUCGGAGCUUAACUCCGAAAUUGCAUUCGAUACUGCCGUGCUCGAGGACUGGAGAGGAGACUGGAAUUCAUGGUGUAGCAGUGAAAUGCGUAGAGAUCAUGAGGAAGACCAGUGGCGAAGGCGGGUCUCUGGACAGUUCCUGACACUGAGGCACGAAGGCCAGGGGAGCAAACGGG